rnacentral:rRNA from 1 species
GUUAAUUAUUCUCAAUGGCAUACCGAAAGAUCUACUAGUAAAAAGGUUCAUGCAAUUGAAGAAAUCAAUGUUUUGAGUGGAAAGAUGGAUGAACUUAUGAAAUUGUUUGCUAAUAAGAGUGUUUCUUCCGAUCCUAAUGAUAUGCCUUUGUCUACUUUGAUUGAGAAUAAUAAUGAAUCUAUGGAUGUGAACUUUGUUGGUAGGAACAAUUUUGGUAACGAUGCUUAUAGAGGAAACUUUAAUCCUAGGCCGUAUCCUAGUAAUUCCUCUAAUAAUUAUGGUAAUUCCUACAACAAUUCUUAUGGAAAUUUUAAUAAGAUGCCCUCUGAUUUUGAGACUAGUGUUAAAGAAUUUAUGAUUUCACAAAAGAAUUUCAAUGCUUUGCUUGAAGAAAAAUUGCCUAAGAUUGAUGAAUUGGCUAGGAACGUGGAUAGAAUUUCUCUUAAUGUUGAUUCUUUGAAACUUAGAUAUAUUCCACCUAAGCAUGAUAUCAAUGAGUCUCUCAAA